rfam:Brachypodium distachyon strain Bd21 chromosome 2, whole genome shotgun sequence.
GCCCUACUCUCUCCGUCCAACAAAAAAUGUCUCAAGUUUGUCACAAUUUGAAUGCAUCUAGACAUUACUUAGUGUAUAGAUACAUUCAAAUUUAGUCAAAGUUGAGACAUUUUUUGUUGGACGGAGGGAGUACCUC